GCCAGUGUGGCUUAGUGAUUUGAGUGUUGGAUUACGACUUGGGAAACCAGGGUUUGAAUCCCAGCUUGGCCA